rnacentral:rRNA from 1 species
CGACGCCGCGUGGGGGAUGAAGGUCUUCCGAUUGUAAACCCCUUUCGGGAGGGAAGAUGGAGUGGGUAACCACUUGGACGGUACCUCCAGAAGCAGCCACGGCUAACUUCGUGCCAGCAGCCGCGGUAAUACGAAGGUGGCAAGCGUUGUUCGGAUUCACUGGGCGUACAGGGAGCGUAGGCGGUUAGGUAAGCCCUCCGUGAAAUCUCCGGGCCUAACCCGGAAAGUGCAGAGGGGACUGCUUGGCUAGAGGAUGGGAGAGGAGCGCGGAAUUCCD